rnacentral:rRNA from 1 species
UACGAAGGGGGCUAGCGUUGCUCGGAAUCACUGGGCGUAAAGGGUGCGUAGGCGGGUCUUUAAGUCAGAGGUGAAAUCCUGGAGCUCAACUCCAGAACUGCCUUUGAUACUGAGGAUCUUGAGUUCGGGAGAGGUGAGUGGAACUGCGAGUGUAGAGGUGAAAUUCGUAGAUAUUCGCAAGAACACCAGUGGCGAAGGCGGCUCACUGGCCCGAUACUGACGCUGAGGCACGAAAGCGUGGGGAGCAAACAGGG